GAUUACUUCCGUCCGCGCGCUGGCCUCUCUCUGGAGCCGGCUGGCUGGGGCUCCGGGAGCGGGGUGCGCGGGGCUCGGCCGUGCCUUGCCACCUGCAGCGCCCGGGCAAGCCGCGGGGCGCUGCGGCUACGGCUCACCCCGGCCAUCGUUGCAGGUGGGAGUCGAGAGCAUCCCCAAGCGCCCAAGCCAUGGUGGCCAAACAGCGGAUCCGGAUGGCUAACGAGAAGCACAGCAAAAACAUCACCCAGAGGGGAAACGUAGCCAAAACCCUGCUAUCUUCCAGAUCAUACAGAGCAUAAGGAUGGGCAUGUGAGAGGGCCAGGAAGUUGUAUGCGGAUGCCCUCCUGCUGGCAGGUGAAGGACCACUGAGGCCUUCAGCGGGUCUUAUAGGAAGCAAACAAGCCAUGGGUGAUAGAAAGGAGGCCCCCUGUUUCCUCCCACGCCAUGGUGGAGGUCAGACCAAAUUGCCUUCUCACAAGACAUCUCCGUGCAUCUGUGUCCUCCAGCGGAAAGGACUCUGCUCUUCUGUUGGCUGAUUGGAAGUCACGUGGGGGGCCGGGCGGCGGCGCUGGCUGGCUGGCUGGUUCCCCGGGUUUCACUGUGGUGUGCAUGUGGCCCUCUGAGCGACCACCCCUUUACAUCCUGCCAAUCAAUCUCUUCUGUGUCAGGAAUUGGUUUUACAAAUAAAUGUCUUCAUUCAACCUU
rnacentral:lncRNA from 1 species